rnacentral:rRNA from 1 species
AAAACAGGUUAAUAUUCCUGUACCGUCCGUCUGUAGCGAAAGCCCUGACGCUUCGGGAUAUGUCAGGCGGGAUCGUCGUCCCGUCCAAGCGUGUAAUCCCGCGGAGUACCGUAAUGGUGAGAAACGGAAGAAAGCGUGAUGGGGUAACUUGACAAAUUCCUGGAGCCCGUGAAAAGGGAGACGGCGUCCGUACCGAGAACCGACACAGGUGCCCCUCGCUGAGAAGGCGAAGGCGUGUCGGAGUGAAUUGUGUUAAGGGAACUCGGCAAAUUAGCCCCGUAACUUCGGGAGAAGGGGUGCCUGCCUGGAGAUCAGGCAGGUCGCAGUGACCAGGGAGCUCUAACUGUCUAAUAACAACAUAGGUGACUGCAACUCGGAAACGACUAGUAUAGUCACUGAUUCCUGCCCAGUGCGAGUAUCUGAAUACCGGGUUCAACCGGACGAAGGACUCGUAAACGGCGGGGGUAACUAUGACCCUCUUAAGGUAGCGUAGUACCUUGUCGCUUAAUUGGCGACUUGCAUGAAUGGAUUAAUGAGAGCUCUACUGUCCCUAACACAAGCCCGUUGAACCUUUUGUCCUAGUGCAGAGACUAGGGACUCCUAUUGGGAAGUGAAGACCCCGUGGAGCUUUACUGCAGCCUGUCGCUGAAUUACGGUAUUACAUGCGCAGUGUAGAUGGGAGGCGUUAUAUCCGUUUCUUUCGGGAAACGGGGAGCCAACAAUGAGACACCAUCCUUGUUUUACUGUAGUUCUCACUCCAACGAGGACAACGAUAGGUGGGCAGUUUGGGUGGGGCGCCACACCCUCGAAAAAAUAUCAAGGGUGCCCUAAGGUCAACUCAUGUGAGUCAGAAACUCACAGAAGAGUGUCAAGAGCAAAAGUUGGCCUGACGCGAUUGCGCUUAGCAAGCAAUCGCGAGAGGAAACUCGGGUCUAACGAACCAAUACGCCCUGUUGGUGAGGGCUAUUGACGACAGAAAAGCUACCCCGGGGAUAACAGAGUCGUCGCCGGCAAGAGCACAUAUCGACCCGGCGGCUUGCUACCUCGAUGUCGGUUCUUUCCAUCCUGGCUGUGCAGCAGCAGCCAAGGGUGAGGUUGUUCGCCUAUUAAAGGGGAUCGUGAGCUGGGUUUAGACCGUCGUGAGACAGGUCGGUUACUAUCUAAUAGGAGUGUCAGGAGUCUGAGGGUAAGAAUGGAAUAGUACGAGAGGAACUUCCAUUCGGCGCCACUAGUCGAUCGGUUGUCUGACAAGGCAAUGCCGAGCAGCCACGCGCCAAGGGAUAAAAGCUGAAAGCAUCUAAGCUUGAAACCCGGCCUAAAAAGAGACUCCGUUGAGGACAUGGGUAAAAGACCCGUUUGAUAGGCCUGGGAUGUACGCACGAAGGCAACGACGUGUUCAGUCCGCAGGUACUAACGUCCAAAUCC